AUAAGCUGGAAUCCCAAAGAAGUAGGCUCCAAUGCCAGUGAAAGAAUGGAUGUCUGGCAAAGUGAAGGCAAGCAGAUGAAGAACAGAUGAAACCUUCCUUCUUCUAAUGUCCUCAUAUAGGCUUCCAGCAGAAGCAUGUUCUAGAAGGCUCGGAUCUGUUUUGCACAGAACUUCUCUGCCACCGACAAGCUAUGGAGUGGGAGGCUGGAGCAGACCAUGUAAAUAAAUCUGCACAGAGGCAAGCAGCAACAAUAGCAGCAACAACAACAGCAACAAGAACAACAGCAACCACAGGAACAACAAAAACAGCAACAACAGCAACAAGAACAACAAAAACAACAGCGACAACAAAAACAGCAACAACAACAAGGGCCCCUACUUUUUAUGAGUAUUUAAAACCCCCCUUUAAAACACCUUACAUAGCAUAGGAGUGAUUUCUCUUUGGUUUCAGCUAUUUGUCUAGUCAUUUGUCAUAUUGCAAACAAACAUCAAUAAAUAGACUUAUUGACUAUCUUCCAUGGGUAGAAUCUCUAGCUUGCUGGAGAGUGUUCUCACAAGCUACCAAAGUAUCAUUUUCUCUUAUCAUGGAUUUUAUGUGUGAGAUAUGUGCCCAUGAUCAGAACAUGUAAACACUUAAGAAGCUUUAAAAAGGCCAGAGAAGAUCUAGCAAGAAUGGACUUGCUAGAGAGAAAGUGAGAGUAAGAGCAAGAGAGGGAGAGCAGGAAAAAAGAGCAAGCUUCCUUCUACUAUGUCCUUUAUAUAGGCUACAAGCAGAUGGUGUUGCCUGGAUUAAAGUGGAUCUUAUCACCUCAAAAGAUCUGGAUUAAAGGUGUAUCUUUGUACCUCAAAGACCUGGAUUUGAGUGAGUCUCCCUACUUAAAAUGAUCCAUUUAAGAAAAAUAAAUUCUUUAUAAGUG
ensembl:lincRNA A330069K06Rik RIKEN cDNA A330069K06 gene